rnacentral:rRNA from 1 species
UGAAGAAGGCCUUCGGGUUGUAAAGCUCUUUUGUCAGGGAAGAAACGGUGGGAGCUAAUAUCUCCUGCUAAUGACGGUACCUGAAGAAUAAGCACCGGCUAACUACGUGCCAGCAGCCGCGGUAAUACGUAGGGUGCAAGCGUUAAUCGGAAUUACUGGGCGUAAAGCGUGCGCAGGCGGUUAUAUAAGACAGAUGUGAAAUCCCCGGGCUUAACCUGGGAACUGCAUUUGUGACUGUAUAGCUAGAGUACGGCAGAGGGGGAUGGAAUUCCGCGUGUAGCAGUGAAAUGCGUAGAUAUGCGGAGGAACACCGAUGGCGAAGGCAAUCCCCUGGGCCUGUACUGACGCUCAUGCACGAAAGCGUGGGGAGCAAACAGGAUUAGAUACCCUGGUAGUCCACGCCCUAAACGAUGCGAACUGGAUGUUGGGUUCAACUUGGAACCCAGUAUCGAAGCUAACGCGUUAAGUUCGCCGCCUGGGGAGUACGGUCGCAAGACUGAAACUCAAAGGAAUUGACGGG